UAUUAUGUAUUGACGUGCUCCUGUUUUACAGUGAAAUUAUUAACAAUAAAUAGCAACAAUUAAUUGUUAAUUUAUAAUAAAUCGAUUCAUUAACUCGCUGGCUACUAUUUGAGUGCAUAAUUAUUGCUGGAUGUCACGUAUUUUAGCUAAAAAUUGAUAUUGUUUAAAACGUCAAAAAUCGGCCGGGUCACAAAAGGACCCCAUGGAAUUUUAUAAUACAAAAUGGCCGCAGAUUUUCUUGGAUAUGUCAAAAGUUAUUAAACCUCGACAGAUGCCAUGACAUUUACAACAAAAAAUGACAGCAGGUGCAAAAAAAAAGGAUAAUCAGGAAUUAUUUGUCAAAAUGACAUGACAAGUCAAAAGUCUUGGCUUUUUAUUGAACAAGAAAAGAUAUCCUUAUAUUUCAAGGUGGACAAACACCAGUGCAUUUACAAUGCAAAAUGGCCCCAGGUAAAUAAUGAUAAUUAUUAUCCAGUUUGUUGUUUGUCAAACAAUAUACAUUAUUAUUAAAAAUAGACUAUCGAUUGUUGAUCAGUUUGGUUUAAUAAUUUAUU